GACGAACGCUGGCGGCGUGCUUAACACAUGCAAGUCGAACGGAAAGGCCCUGCUUGCAGGGUCCUCGAGUGGCGAACGGGUGAGUAACACGUGGGUGAUCUGCCCUGCACUUCGGGAUAAGCCUGGGAAACUGGGUCUAAUACCGGAUAGGAGCCAUUUUUAGUGUGAUGGUUGGAAAGUUUUUUCGGUGUAGGAUGAGCUCGCGGCCUAUCAGCUUGUUGGUGGGGUAAUGGCCUACCAAGGCGGCGACGGGUAGCCGGCCUGAGAGGGUGGACGGCCACAUUGGGACUGAGAUACGGCCCAGACUCCUACGGGAGGCAGCAGUGGGGAAUAUUGCACAAUGGGCGCAAGCCUGAUGCAGCGACGCCGCGUGGGGGAUGACGGCCUUCGGGUUGUAAACUCCUUUCGCUAGGGACGAAGCUUUUUGGGACGGGACCGAGAUAAGAAGCACCGGCUAACUACGU
rnacentral:rRNA from 1 species